UUUAUCAGAGAGUUUGAUCCUGGCUCAGGAUGAACGCUGGCGGCGUGCUUAACACAUGCAAGUCGAACGGGAAUUAUCUUAUUGAAACUUCGGUCGAUUUAAUUUAAUUCUAGUGGCGGACGGGUGAGUAACGCGUGGGUAACCUGCCUUAUACAGGGGGAUAACAGUCAGAAAUGGCUGCUAAUACCGCAUAAGCGCACAGAGCUGCAUGGCUCAGUGCGAAAAA
rnacentral:rRNA from 1 species